AUGACUGAGACAGAGAUGUCACGAUUGCUGUAUGCACUAGAUGUCACCAAAACGGCUGCGAUCAGGGCAGGCCUCGCAGGAACCCCACCAGGCCUUCAGCAUCAAGUAUUUGUUGGUGACGCGCUUGAUAGAUCUGGCAACGUGAUCACGAAAGAUCAUGCGUAUAUGCUCACUGCACUUUUAUCCCAGCUGAGCUCCACUGAAGCAAGUGUCAGAAAAAAGGCUGUUUCGUGCAUUGCAUCACUUGCUCCAUGUUUGUCAGAUGAUCUAUUAGCCAAGGCAACUUUGGAGGCUGUCCAAUUGCUGAAAAAAAGAAGGCAGAAGUCUGAAAUAACCCGAACGAAUAUCCAGAUGAUUGAUGCUCUAAGCUUCUCAGUUGGAUACCGGUUUGGACCCUACCUUGCCGAAGCUGUUCCUUUGCUCAUAAGCUAUUGCACAAGUGCAUCAGAAAAUGAUGAAGAGCUCUGUGCAUGCAGCCUGCAGGCCCUCGAGAGUAUUAUGCUCAGAUGUCCAAGAGAUAUUUCCCCAUAUUAUGAGGGUAUUUUGAAUCUUGCUUUGGAAUAUGUAAGCUAUGAUCCUAAUAUCACCGAUAGCAUGAAGGAGGAUGCUCACAGUGAAGUUCAGGAUGAUGAGAGUGCGUCUGAAUACAACGCUGACAAGAAUGCAAGCUGGAAGGUUCGUCGGGCAUCAGCGAAGUGCCUGUCUGCAAUUAUCGUAUCUUGUCCUCAGAUGUUGUUUAAGAUGUAUCAGGAGGCUUGUCCGAAGUUAAUCGACCGCUUUAGGGAAAGAGAGGAGAAUGUAAAGAUGGACAUUUUCAAUACAUUUAUCGAGUUGUUACGCCAAACUGGUAAUGUGACAAAAGGACAAGGUGACAUUGAUGAGUCUAGCCCUAGAUGGUUGCUGAAGCAAGAGGUACCAAAAGUUGUCAAGUCUAUCGAUAGUCAGUUAUAUGAAAGAUCAAUCAAGACAAAGGUUGGAGCAUUCUCAGUAUUGAAGGAGCUUGUUGUUCUAUUACCAGAUUGUCUUGCUGAUCAUCUUGGGUCCCUUGUUCCUUGGAUUGAGAUGUAUUUGAAUGAUAAAUCUUAUACCUCCAGCCUGAAGAUUGAAGCCCUUGCAUUUACUAGGAUUCUUAUGGCCUCACAUUCGCCCUCUGUGUUUCAUCCAUACAUCCAGAUAUUAUGUGAUGCAAUAGUAUCUGCUAUUGGAGAUAUAUAUUACAAAGUCACCGCUGAUGCUCUACGGCGUGCGGGGAGCUAUUCCGGGUUCUCCGUCCAAAUUUUGAGGCCAUAUAUUAGUCCAAUCUAUGAAGCUAUAUGGGCCCGCUUGCCCAAUCAAGAUCAGGAAGUCAGUGAGUGUUUCGUAUCGUGCAUGAGCCUUGUGAUCGCUACUUUUGGUGAUGGUCUUCAAAGGGAAUUACCGUCAUGCCUAUCCUUACUUGUUGAUAGGAUGGGCUAUGAAAUAACACGACUUACAGCGGUCAAGGCAUUUGCGGUGCUUGCGAAUUCACCUCUUCGGAUUGAUCUUUCAUGUGUCCUGGACCGUGUCGUUUCUGACCUUGCAACUUUCCUUCGGAAGGAUAGCAGAGCCCUUAGGCAGGCAACAACGGGAACCCUAAAUUCUCUGGUUGUUACAUAUGGGGAUCAAAUUGGCCUGUCCUCUUAUGAGACUAUAAUAGCUGAACUAUCUAUUCUUAUAAGUGACAUCGACUUGCAUAUGUCUGUUCUUGUGUUGGAACUCUGUCGCACAAUAAUGGUCGACAGAAGUUCCUUCCAAAAUGUUGGUUUAGCUGUGAGACAUAAAGUUUUGCCUCAGGCCCUUAUUUUGAUCAGGAGUGCUUUGUUGCAAGGACGAGCACUAGAGGCGCUGCAGAAGUUUUUUACUGCACUGGUCCAGUCUGCAAAUACAACCUUUGAAACUUUGUUGGACUCCCUUAUUUCCACUGCCAAACAAUCACAGUUGGGCGGCCUUGCCAAGCAGGCACUAUCCUCUAUUGCACAGUGUGUUGCUGUGCUAUGCUUAGCAGCUGGUGAUCAGAAGUGUGCAUUGACUAUUGAAAUGCUCGAAGGCAUUCUAAAUGAUGACAGUUCUACUGAUACUGCUAAACAACACAUUGCCUUGUUAUGUUUGGGAGAAAUUGGAAGAAGGAAGGACCUCAGCAACCAUGUUCAAAUUGAGAACACUGUAAUUGAAUCAUUCCAGUCACCUUUUGAGGAGAUAAAAUCUGCAGCAUCGUACGCUCUCAGAAACAUUGCUGUUGGCAAUCUAUCCAAGUAUUUGCCAUUUAUCUUGGAUCAGAUUGACAAUCAACAGAAGAAUCCGUAUCUCUUGCUUCAUUCACUGAAAGAGGUAAUUGCAUGGCAGUCUGUUGAUCAUACUGGCCAGGAUGAGCUCCAGGACUCAAACAUUGUGAAGAUAUUGGCGUUGCUCUUUAAUCACUGCAAAAGUGAGGACGAAGGAGUUCAGGAUGUGGUUGCUGAGUGUUUAGGCAAAAUUGCACUUAUUGAACCUAACAAACUAAUCCCUGUUCUGAAGGAAUGCACAUCUAGCCCAGCAGCAAACACAAGGGCUACGGUUGCCAUUGCUAUAAAAUAUUCAAUUGUUGAACGGCCUGGAAAGAUAGAUGCAAUCAUGUACUCUGAGAUUUCUACUUUCCUUAUGUUAAUCAAAGAUAGUGACAUGCAUGUGAGACGUGCAGCUAUCCUAGCGCUGAGUACAGCUGCCCACAACAAGCCAAAUUUGAUCAAAGGUCUUGUUCCUGAACUGCUGCCUCUUUUGUACGACCAGACUGUUGUGAAGCAAGAAUUGGUCAGGACAGUUGAUCUAGGGCCUUUCGAGCACGUCGUUGACGAUGGGCUUGAACUUAGGAAAGCUGCCUUUGAAUGUGUGGACACAUUGCUGGAUAGUUGUCUUGAUCAAGUGAAUCCGUCGUCCUUCAUCGUUCCUUUCCUCUUAUCUGGUUUAGGUGAUCAUUAUGAUGUAAAAAUGCCCUGCCAUCUGAUUCUCUCAAAGCUAGCAGACAAGUGCCCCUACGCUGUUCUUGCAGUUUUGGACUCGUUAGUUGAACCCCUUGAGGAAACUAUUGGUGACAAACCCACGGGUGAUGCAGUGAAGCGGGAGAUUGAUCGCAACGAAGACGUGAUCCACAGUGCUCUUCAAGCAAUUGCUGCUCUAAGCCGCAUAAGGUAA
rnacentral:rRNA from 1 species